rnacentral:rRNA from 1 species
AACGAACGCUGGCGGCAGGCUUCACACAUGCAAGUCGAGCGCCCCGCAAGGGGAGCGGCAGACGGGUGAGUAACGCGUGGGUAUCUACCCAUCUCUACGGAAUAACGCAGGGAAACGUGUGCUAAUACCGUAUACGUCCAUCGGGAGAAAGAUUUAUCGGAGAUGGAUGAGCCCGCGUUGGAUUAGCUAGUUGGUGGGGUAAAGGCCUACCAAGGCGACGAUCCAUAGCUGGUCUGAGAGGAUGAUCAGCCACACUGGGACUGAGACACGGCCCAGACUCCUACGGGGGGCAGCAGUGGGGAAUAUUGGACAAUGGGCGCAAGCCUGAUCCAGCCAUGCCGCGUGAGUGAUGAAGGCCCUAGGGUUGUAAAGCUCUUUCACCGGUGAAGAUAAUGACGGUAACCGGAGAAGAAGCCCCGGCUAACUUCGUGCCAGCCGCCGCCGUAAGAC